GAAAAUAAGAAUUUAUUAAUAUUAAUAAUUUUAAGCUUAGUUAAAAAAAUAAAUUUAUAUUUAAUUAUUAUUUAAGAAAAAAUAAAUUUAAUUAUAGAGUAAAGUAUUGAGAAAGAAAAUUUUUAAAAUUAUUAAAAAGAAAAAUUUAAAUAUUGUACCUUGUGCAUCAGGGUUGAUUAAAUAAAAAGUUUAUAUAAAAUAUUCUCGAAUUUAAAAGAGCUAAUUAAUUAUAUAUUUUAUUGUAAAAUAAAUAUUUAAAAUAGUUAAUUAGAAAUGAAACGUUAUUCGUUUUUAAAUAUAUCUAGUUUCUAAAUAAAUAAAUUUAAUUUAAUUAUUUAUAAUUAAAAUUUUAAAUUUUUAAUUUUUUAUUAUAAAUAAGUAAUUUUUUUAGGGAUAAGCUUAAAAAAAAAAUAUUAUAAUUUAUUAAAAGUUAAAUAAAUUAUAGGAUUAUAAUUUUCUAUAAAUAAAAAAAUGUUAUAAUUAAUUAUUUAAAUAAUAUAAUUUUUAUUAAAUUUAAAUUUUUUAUUUAGAUAAAAAUUUUAAUUUAAAAAAUUUUGCAAUAAUGAUUAAAUUAGUAUAAAUUAAUGUAUUAUUAAUUUAAAUUAUAAAGGUUAAUUUAAGGAAUUCGGCAAAUAUAUUUUUCACCUGUUUAUUAAAAACAUGUCCUUUUGAUAAUAAUUUAAGGUCUAAUCUGCCCACUGAGGAAUUAAAUGGCUGCGGUAUUUUGACCGUACAAAGGUAGCAUAAUAAUUAGUUUCUUAAUUAGAAGCUGGAAUGAAAGAUUGAAUGAGAAAAUAACUGUCUCAGAUUAAUUUAAUUAGAAUUUUAUUUUUAAGUUAAAAAGCUUAAAUAUAUUUAAAAGACGAGAAGACCCUAUAGAGUUUUAUUAAGUUUAUUAUUAAUAUUAUUUGGAUUUAAAAAUAAUUGAUAAAUAAAUUUAAUUUUGUU
rnacentral:rRNA from 1 species